GUCGUCAGCUCGUGUCGUGAGAUGUUGGGUUAAGUCCCGCAACGAGCGCAACCCUUGAUCCGUGUUACCAGCGCGUGAAGGCGGGGACUCACCGGUGACUGCCGUCGUAAGACGGAGGAAGGCGGGGAUGACGUCAAAUCAUCAUGCCCCUUAUGUCCUGGGCGACACACGUGCUACAAUGGGCGGCACAACGGGACGCGAGAGAGCAAUCUGGAGCCAACCCCUGAAAACCGCUCGUAGUUCGGAUUGCAGGCUGCAACUCGCCUGCAUGAAGCCGGAAUUGCUAGUAAUCGCGGAUCAGCAUGCCGCGGUGAAUCCGUUCCCGGGCCUUGUACACACCGCCCGUCACACCACGAGAGUCGACAACACCCGAAGUCGGUGGGGUAACCCGCAAGGGGGCCAGCCGCCGAAGGUGGGGCCGAUGAUUGGGGUGAAGUCGUAACAAGGUAGC
rnacentral:rRNA from 1 species